rnacentral:pre_miRNA from 1 species
GCAGAGGCGUCAUUGCGUGCAGCGCCGGUGAACCGCUCCGGCCUCGGUGGAGGCGGACGGGCCAUGGCCGGACGGUUCAUCAACGCUGCACUCAACGGCACCUCUGC